GAUUUUUUAUAUACAUUUUAUAUGGAUGCCUCCAAAUCAGAUAUUAGUGGUAAGUAAUAAUUUAAUGAAUUCAUCCUGAAGAGUUGUAUUUUUUUGUUUAUAAUGUACGUAGCAAUUGAAAAAGUUAACCUAACCUCAUAACAUUGAUUUAUUAAUUUAUUAGGUAUUGAAGAAGCCUUAAUGACUCCAACAGAACAUUGUGCACAUGCAUAAGGUCUACGGAAGUACUUCAAAUAUCAUUCAGAUGUGGCUUCAAAAUUUGAUAAAUUGUUAAAAAUAUUUAGAAGUUGUUCAUUAUGCGAAAAUCAUGUGUACAAAAAAAUGAUGAAGACUCAGAAUCUCCUAAAAGAGGAGACCAUUAGAGAUGGAGGAGACAAUCAUUAUAGAGUGUUGUUUGUUUCAGUCCUUGUUAAUUAUCUUAUCUAAAAUUAAAAAUAUGUUGCUGUAGCAGUUUGCCAUCUCGCUAAGGGACGGACUGGCAGAUCGGGUGAUCGGGAAAUUUCCCGAUGGACCGUCAAAUUAUUGAAUUAUGGGGCUGGACAAUAAUAUUAUUACCAUAUUAUUAUAACCAUAUUAUAUGGUUGUACAAGUAACUUAUUACGAUUUUUAGAAUAUAAUAAUAGUUUUUGAUCUAUUUAAAAUGUAUAGAAUAUAACAUAAAUAAUACUUAUGAAGUUUUGCUAAUUUAUAAUGGAGCUGAUAUUAUGUAGAAAAUAAAUAGUUUAAAAAUAAUUUCAUUGUUUUAAAGGGUGUUUUCGCUUCUUCAAGAACACUCCGAUUCCAAGUUGUGUACCAAACUUAAACAGACCUAACCAUUUCGGAGAAACCAUUUUUUCGCAUUCGAUAGUGGAAUUCACCCAAUUCUAUGCUGACAAAUAGGGUUUUUUAGGAACGUAUAUGGCUCCUGGAAACUUUUUGGCCAGACACCGCUUGAUAACCCCCAUCUUCAGUGGGAGAAUUAUUUGGUUUCUACAGAAAAUCUUCGGUUUCCACCACAGGAUUCCUUCCUGUCUGCUCCUGAGGAUCUCUGACCAUUUUAUUUUUAUCUCCAGGCUAAACAUAAUUUUGGCUGAUAACUUUCCGCUGUUCCAGUUUUAUUUUUCUUACGGAGAACAGUACAUGUGGCAGUAGAUAUCUAAACGAUGAUGAGGCAUAUCCACAAGUAAUGUUCGUAACUCACUGCUCAACUAAUAAUUUAGUCUUUCAACUGGAUUCCGUAUAUCCAUUUUUCACCUUUUGAAAACCUUCGCAUCGCAUAUGAGCAUGGAUGUGGGACAUAAUGUGUCAAUAAUGACCUAGAGUACCUGAAUCGUCGAAACAACAUCCAUUAGAAUGAAUCCACAAUCGAUAUCGAGUUAACAGUCACUUUUCCGGAGGGUAAACCUCUAACCUGUGACUAUAACAGUCAGUAACUACUAAAAUCAUAUAAAUAAUACGUCAAUACGAAAAUAAUCUUACCUAAAAUUAUAUUUUUUGUUCUAAGAAAGAGUAGGUAUUUAUAUAAAUAGAAAUUUCGCUGCCGCCUGCCUGUCGGUCGCAGCCGCCAUGUUUUUUAUAAUAUACGAUCUAAUUCGAUGUAUUAUCAAUUAUUAUUGUUAUAUUAUUCAAAAAUAUACCGUUUUCGUCCGCGACUAACAAGACUGUUGUUUGGGAUAUUACUGAUAUUAUAUAAAAUAUAAAUAUCAUGACAAAAUUAAUAGGUAUGUCAGCAAUAUUAUCGGUUUAGAAACAAAUCGCGCACCCACCCUCCGCCCAGCCCUGUACUCUGACGUAAGCAUUUCUCCGGUUCUCAUUGGUCCACCGCCGUCACUGCCGCGAUAGCCACCACCACCACUCAGCCUGUUGGAUAAAUGCUUACGUCACAGAUAUGCGUAUCACGAGUUGCUAACAUACCUAUUUAUUUUGCCAUGAUAAAUAUUAGUUCAUUUGUAUUUUGUAUUAUCUAGUGGAAAGAUGACUUUUGAAGCAAUGUAAACAAUCAUAACCUCAGUUUUUUAUAGGU
rnacentral:misc_RNA from 1 species